rnacentral:rRNA from 1 species
GACGAACGCUGGCGGCGUGCUUAACACAUGCAAGUCGAACGGUGAAGGGGCCUGCUUUUGUGGGUCCUGGAUGAGUGGCGAACGGGUGAGUAACACGUGAGUAACCUGCCCCCUUCUUCUGGAUAGCCGCAUGAAAGUGUGGCUAAUACGGGAUAUUCUGUGCCUGCUGCAUGGUGGGUGUGGGAAAGAUUGCGCCCUUU